GUCUAGUGAUGCGAAAUCUGCGAAAUCAUUAGAUCUGAUCGAAGGUUUAGCUGGAACGGGGUGUGGGUGAGAUCGCACGGAAUAGAGGCUAAACAUUGUAAACAAACGUAUGUAUGCAUACUCAUCUCUGAUAUGUAUGUACAGCCGACUGCCCGAAUAAUGGAUCCCAAUAAGUCAAACGCUUCGAGGGAAAACCUGAAGCAAUUACCUCAUGGAGAAGAAAAAGAUGUGGAAAGCUUGUCUCAGAUUUACGACGAAGGAUUUGCCCUGUUCAACAGCAUAAAUAAAUCCCAGGAGGCAACAAAUAGCCCCAAAAUACAAUCUGAAGUUAGGAGGGCGAUGAGCAUGUUCGAGGAUGCAACCAGAUUGGUAUCCAUGACGGAUAUGUUUAGUGUCAAUGAGAGUUUCGAAGAAGUGGCGACGGCAAAUAUCAAAUACUUUCUGCUGCCAGCUCUGCUUGGAACUCUGACGCUAAAGAUUUGUGGAACGAGCGACCGAUUGCACAUUGUUGACGUAGCGGAGAUCUAUUACAACGAUUUUCUGAAAAGGCUAAAGCAUUAUGGACUGAUUGAUUUUGUAAUACCUGAGAAAAAGUCGAGCGAAGAAAAUUCAGUGAGGAAACCAAUGUCCAACGCCGAAUUAAUAACGUCCAUGGUGUCGACAAGAAAUACAAAACUGCAGAGGUUCAAGGAGCAGAAAGAGCUGGAAAGCAGACUGGAAACAUUAACUGAGAACAUGCGCAACCCAAAUAUAGAUGAAGAAUCGAAGAGAGAGUACUACGUUACGUUAAUCAACUCGUAUGUGAACCAAGCGUUGGAUGAUUUAAGUUCAAUAGCUUCGGAGAGGCCAAUAAUAGAGCACAUGAUUAAAGUUGGGCACAGUGAUCCCUUGGCUGCUCAAAACCCAAGAAAAUCAAAAUUGCCUGGAGUUAAACUGAAGCCGAUCAUUAUUACGAGAGAUGAGCUACAAAAACAAGUUUAUGGAGCUGGCUAUCCAAGUCUACCCGUUCUGACUGUGCAAGAAUUUUACGAAAAAAGAAUCAGAGAUGGCGACUGGCCAGAUCCGUCGCAGAGAAAUCAAGUGAGUGGCAAGUGCCUACAGAAUAUUCCGCCCAACACGGAUGAAUUGAAGGAAGAAGAUAUUGAGGAGGAGCAAAAAGAAAACCAAGUCGAGAAAGACGAUCCGCAGCUUCUUGCCCAAGCUCGUGCCAUGGAUGAAUAUAAAGAUACUCAUAGACGAGGUUGGGGGAACAGAAGCAACAGAAGCUAAAUCCAUAAAAUAUUCAGACUCUUAUUUCAUGCAAGGUGGUCCAUCGGAAUUGACUUUUCUAUUUAGUACUGAACCAUAUUUAUGGAAAGAAUUCCAACGGUACUAACUUGAGGUACUUAAUAGCUGAAUUCUGGAUGCUUUCAAGAUAUCUAACUUAUUAUCAGACUGUUGGAAUCACGUAUAAUACUACUUGGAUCGUACGGGAUUUUUUUUCUUGUUCAAAAUACGUACUAGUUGGAAGUUUGACACAUGGAGAAAUUAAAAUGUUUCUAGGAGAAAAAAUCGUGUUUCAGUAGCAGAUCGUCUGAAUCAAUCAUGAUUUUUUAUAACGUGUAUCGAUGUAUGUACAUUAAGAAUAUACCUUCUGAUCUUUGAUAUUA
rnacentral:misc_RNA from 1 species